GCUUGUCUCAAAGAUUAAGCCAUGCAUGUCUAAGUACAAGCCUCAGUAAGGUGAAACCGCGAAUGGCUCAUUAAAUCACACCUAAUCUACUGGAAAGUUACUAGUUACUUGGAUAACUGUAGUAAUUCUAGAGCUAAUACAUGCGUCAGAACCCAACUUUACGGAAGGGUCGUGUUUAUUAGAUACAAAACCAACAUCUCGUUGGUGAUUCAUAAUAACCAAGCGAAUCGUCGGUUUACCGACGAUAGAUCGUUCAAGUUUCUGACCUAUCAGCUUUGGUCGGUAGGGUAUUGGCCUACCGAGGCAAUGACGGGUAACGGAGAAUUAGGGUUCGAUUCCGGAGAGGGAGCCUGAGAAACGGCUACCACAUCUAAGGAAGGCAGCAGG
rnacentral:rRNA from 1 species